rnacentral:rRNA from 1 species
CCUACGGGUGGCAGCAGUGAGGAAUAUUGGUCAAUGGACGAGAGUCUGAACCAGCCAAGUCGCGUGAAGGAUGACUGCCCUAUGGGUUGUAAACUUCUUUUAUCUGGGAAUAAAAUGUUCCACGUGUGGGAUUUUGUAUGUACCAUAUGAAUAAGGAUCGGCUAACUCCGUGCCAGCAGCCGCGGUAAUACGGAGGAUCCGAGCGUUAUCCGGAUUUAUUGGGUUUAAAGGGAGCGUAGGUGGAUUGUUAAGUCAGUUGUGAAAGUUGGCGGCUCAACCGUAAAACUGCAGUUGAAACUGGCAGUCUUGAGUACAGGAGAGGUGGGCGGAAUGCGUGGUGUAGCGGUGAAAUGCUUAGAUAUCACGAAGAACUCCGAUUGCGAAGGCAGCAUGCUGGCCUCCAACUGACACUGAGGCUCGAAAGUGUGGGUAUCAAACAGGAUUAGAUACCCGUGUAGUC